rnacentral:rRNA from 1 species
UACGUAGGGUGCGAGCGUUUGUCCGGAAUUAUUGGGCGUAAAGAGCUCGUAGGCGGUUUGUCGCGUCGGGAGUGAAAACUCGGGGCUUAACCCCGAGCCUGCUUCCGAUACGGGCAGACUAGAGGUAGGCAGGGGAGAGCGGAACUCCUGGUGUAGCGGUGGAAUGCGCAGAUAUCAGGAAGAACACCGGUGGCGAAGGCGGCUCUCUGGGCCUUACCUGACGCUGAGGAGCGAAAGCGUGGGUAGCGAACAGG